UACAGAGGGCUCAAGCGUUGUUCGGAUUCAUUGGGCGUAAAGGGUGCGUAGGUGGCGAGGCAAGUCAGAUGUGAAAUCCCGGGGCUCAACCCCGGAACUGCAUUUGAAACUGCCUUGCUCGAGUACUGGAGAGGAGACUGGAAUUUACGGUGUAGCGGUGAAAUGCGUAGAUAUCGUAAGGAAGACCAGUGGCGAAGGCGGGUCUCUGGACAGUUCCUGACGCUGAGGCACGAAGGCCAGGGGAGCAAACGGG
rnacentral:rRNA from 1 species